CAAUGCCUGUAUUCGCGUCAUCACCUACAUACGGGACGCUACACCAAAUUUAUUCACUGCCACGCCGAUUGGCACGCUACUGUAGUAAAAAAUGUAAGUGUUCAUCCAUAGGCCCGGAGCACUAUUGUUGCGCAAAGAAGUAGCUGCAAUUCAUCUCCAACCGCAGGAUUACUCGCAGCGAAAAACGGAAGUCGAAAAUAAUUUUUCAAAAAGGCAAGUGUGCAUGUGGGAAAUCCACUACAGCUACCUGUACUGGAGAGUUUACCUUCAAAAGUCACUGUAAACCAAACAAGCCAGUCUCUGUAGGCUGAAAGCAAAG